rnacentral:rRNA from 1 species
GACGAACGCUGGCGGCGUGCUUAACACAUGCAAGUCGAACGGAAAGGCCCUGCUUUUGUGGGGUGCUCGAGUGGCGAACGGGUGAGUAACACGUGAGUAACCUGCCCUUGACUUUGGGAUAACUUCAGGAAACUGGGGCUAAUACCGGAUAGGAGCUCCUGCUGCAUGGUGGGGGUUGGAAAGUUCCGGCGGUUGGGGAUGGACUCGCGGCUUAUCAGCUUGUUGGUGGGGUAGUGGCUUACCAAGGCUUUGACGGGUAGCCGGCCUGAGAGGGUGACCGGCCACAUUGGGACUGAGGUACGGCCCAGACUCCUACGGGAGGCAGCAGUGGGGAAUAUUGCACAAUGGGCGGAAGCCUGAUGCAGCAACGCCGCGUGCGGGAUGACGGCCUUCGGGUUGUAAACCGCUUUCGCCUGUGACGAAGCGUGAGUGACGGUAAUGGGUAAAGAAGCACCGGCUAACUACGUG